UCUCCGUAGGUGAACCUGCGGAGGGAUCAUUACUGAGUUUUUAACUCUCCAAACCAUGUGAACUUACCACUGUUGCCUCGGUGGUUAGUGCUCUCCUUCGGGGGGGUGCUGCCGCCGGAGGUCUUAAACCCUGAAUUCUAGUGUAUCUCUGAGGAUGAAAAAAAACCAAUUAAAACUUUCAACAACGGAUCUCUUGGCUCUG
rnacentral:misc_RNA from 1 species